CAACCCUCGCCCCCCAGCCGGGGCGGUGUUGGGGACCGGCCUUGGGGGAGCUUCGGCUCCCCCGGCGCCGCCCCCUAAACCCAUUGGCGGCCCCGCCGGCGCGACGCCCGCGUAGUAUCACUACCCCGCGGUCCGGAGCGACGGAGGCGGCACAGCCGUAAAACACCCCAAUUCGGGCCGAGAGGCCUCAGA
rnacentral:misc_RNA from 1 species